rnacentral:lncRNA from 1 species
GAUAGGGAGCAAAUAGAGUAUAGAGCAUAAGAAAGUAAAAAUGAAAGACAAAGUUAAUGAAAGUAUAUAAGAAGAAUCAAGUCAAAUUUUUUAAUCACUUGAAAACACACUUUAAGGAUGAAAUCAUUGCAAGAUAAUAUUUAAAUAGGGGGAGUUUAUUUGAAAAGAAUUGAUUUUGAUCCUUAACAUGCUUGUUCUUAAUAUUUUAAUGCAUGACUUAACACACAAUAUAUUUUGCAUGUGGCAUGAUGUUCUGAAUUAUGAAUUCUCAAUAUUUUGUAAUGUUCCAUGAUUGGAUAAUCUGAUUGAAUGGUUGAAAUACUAUAUGAAGUUAUUUUAUUUUAUUAUAGAAAAGAAAUUUCAGAUUUAUCGUUCACAAUCAUCUCUAAAAUCUGAAAGUCGAAUAAAAUU